ensembl:snRNA U6 U6 spliceosomal RNA
GCGCUCGCUUCAGCAGCACAUAUACUAAAAUUGGAACGAUACAGAGAAGAUUAGCAUGGCCCCUGUGUGUGCAAGGAUGACACGCAAAUUCGUGAAGGACCUUUCUUGUAU